CUUCCCUGUUCUGGAUACAUACUGAGCCAGAACCCCACUACCUCAAGCCUGACUUUCUUACAGAAACAGACUAAAGGGCGUUUGGUAAAUUUAUAAAUUCUGAACAAUGCAUCCAAACUUCAAACACAAUAAGGCUACUUGAUCCCCUUCCCAGAGUCGCAGAAACAAAGCAAGAGAAAAUCACCCCCCUCCUCCCACACAAACACAUUAUAGGCAUUGCACAGUUAUGCAAAAGUGGAUUUUUGUAUUCCAUUUUAGGAUUACUAGAGAAUGAACCUUCUCUUUGUAUUAUAGUUAACUUGGCUUUGCCCAUAAACAACAAAAUAGUGGGGGCAUGGAAAAAUUGCUAAGGGCUUUAUCUGGCUUCUGAAGAGGCCUAGAUGUCCACUCCAGAGGAAAGUAAAAUGCAAGCCUGCAGAGUUAGAGAUGAUAACCACCAUAAAUGUUCUUGCAUUUCACAUAAAGCAAUCAAAAAACACUAGUAAGGUGAAGGUUUCAUAUAUUAACAGGUAAACGUCUAGGCCAAAAAAAAAAAAUCUUGUCUGCACAUGGAAUAAGUUACUUAUUAACAACUCCCUCUUCCUGCAGGGAGCUUUUAUUCUCCUUUCUCCCCGCCCAAACAUAGCAAUCAAACAAACAACAAGAACUACUAAGGCGAAAUGAAAACCAACAGAUUUCCUCGGCUAUGGAUGCCAAGUCUACAAAGAGAGGAAUGGAGAUGCACUGUGGCGACUUAUUAGCUCUUGGGAAGAACCUAGAAGACACAAUUGGACGAUAGCUCCUCCAGUCAAAAGGCUGGGUAAUCCAUGUUUUCAUGUGAACAGCUAUAGAAAGUUCUCCCCCCCCCGCCUCCACUUGCUUGACUGCUUCCUCCACUGCAUCAUGGAAGUCCAUGAAGAAUAGAAAGGAGGCUAAUAACAAGCAAUCUUCGGAAGGGCCAAGGAGCCCGAGGAAGAAAUGAAAGAAGAAAAUGUAGGCACAGAGGAGUCACGUAGGGUGCUGGAGGCGAGGACAGAAUAUUUGGAAGAGCUCAAUGUGGAAGGCAAGGGAAAUCCAGUGAAGGGAUUCAUAAGCUGAAGUGAAUGAAUAUGAUCAAAGAGCAGAAAAGGAAGAUGAUUUGAGUAGAAGCAAUCUGGAUAAACCGGAGCAAGGCUGAGAUUAGAUAUGAGGAGGCUGAGAAGAAAAGAAUUAUUUCCCCCUGCAGCUGUAAAUCCAGGUAAUGAACACAGGACCUGCAGGAAAUGUGAGCAAGGGGGUUUCAGGUGUCUGACAUGGGCUGCUUUAUACUGAGGGCAAUAUAAUGGUUGUCUCUGCAUGACCAUGUGCAAGGAGAUUUCUUCCCCUCCCCUCCCAAUGUUGUUUGCAUGUACGUUGCAGCUGGCCAGGAUUAGAAGGGGAAAGGAAGAAGGCUGCUUGCAUAAAACUAGAUCCUCCAGAAGUGCUUGCCAAGGAGGAGGGAUGAGAUGCAAGUGUGGCCAGGGAGGUAGCCAGAAAUCCUGCUGGUGUUUCUACUGCAGUACGGAGCCUCUGCAUUCCCAGUUGCAGAGCAAAGCAUUAAAGACACAGUCCAGUCCAUAUUGUUUGGCAGUUGUGCAAUGGUAGGCAGAAACUGUCACUGUUCAGCUUCUAAAUGAGGUGUGGACACUUCAUUGACUGAGCACAGUAAUUCUCAGGUGUAUCUGGGAGGGGAGGAUUUGUUCACUUCGGAGCUCUGGUGUGAGGAUUGCACAGAUAAACAUUUUUCUGAAUUAAAGUUGGAUUACGUCUUUCUCAAGCAGCCAAGUGCCAGCCCAAUUUCCUGGUGCCUCGAAAGGUUUAUCCUCCAGGUAUUGUCGGGAGUCAGCUGGACAGUUAGACUUCAUCCAGACAGUCUGAAAUUUCAUCAUCUGUUGUGUCUCCGAUGAAGGGAGAAGACUAGUGAACUGAGUGACUCCAAACAAUUGGCGAACACUUAUACUAAAGGCCAGUUGGUUCAGGAACUGAUGACAGCUGAAGAUUGUGUGGACAAGAGCAGCUAAACAGUACGGACCAGAUUGUGACCAUCUCCUACACAGAUGCACAAGGGAGAAAAUUCCCUUCUUUCACAGGGAAUGGCCACAACUGCAAUACAUGCCCAACCUCCUGAAGUGACGUUAGCCAACCAAAAGGAGGUGACAGGGCUGUUCCGAGCCAUUCGUGCACCCUGGGAGAGUGGCGCAUGUGUAGCCUUGCCCCCAGGUGCGGGGCGCCUGCGUGGCUCCACCCUCGGGCGCCUGGCGCAUGUGUGGCCCCUUCCCGGGCACGCGGCGCAUGUGUGGCCCCGCCUCUGGGUGCCCGGUGCAUGCGUGGCACCGCCCCAGGUGCAUGGAAUAUACCUGGUGCCACCCCCGUCUGGCCCGGUAGCCCCGCACAGUGCCCCCUACAAUGGGGCGCCCCGGGCGGUAGCCCAGUCAGCCCGUAGCUUGGGCCAGCUCUGGGAGGGGAGGGUUAGGCCCUAGGCUCCCUGCACACAGCACGCAGCAGAGCUGGUUGGUCAGACAAGAGAGCACAUACUGUGUCCCCCACCUCCACACGAUGGGUACAUAAGCAGGCAGAUUUUUCCUUUAUGGCUGGGAAUUCCAGGAGGUACUGCACCUCUGAGUCAUAUGCCUCCCGAAGCUCUGCCUGGGGUGAGGCACAUGUGCACGACCCU